GCUGAGCAGCUUCACACAGGCAGGGCGAGCAAGAUGGAGUCACAGACCCAGGUCCUCAUGUCCCUGUUGCUCUGGGUGUCUGGUGCCUGUGCAGAUAUCGUGAUGACCCAGUCCCCAUCCUCCCUGGCUGUGUCAGCAGGAGAGAAGAUCACCAUCAGCUGCAGGUCCAGUCAGAGCCUUUUAUCUGGUGGCACAAACUACUUGAACUGGUACCAGCAGAAACCAGGGCAGGCUCCUAAACUGCUGAUCUAUUUUGCAUCUAAUCGAGAUACUGGGGUCCCUGACCGCUUCGUAGGCAGUGGGUCUGGGACAGAUUUCACUCUCACCAUCAGCAGUGUCCAGGCUGAGGACCUGGGGGAUUAUUACUGUCAGCAGCAUUAUAGUACUCCUCCCACAGUGCUUCAGCCUCCAGCAAAAACCUCCUCUGAGAGUCUCACCAGCUGCCUGCACCACACAGCCCUGGACCUCACACUUCCCCCUUCUGCCUGA